AACUAACAAGGAUUCCCCUAGUAGCGGCGAGCGAAGCGGGAAGAGCUCAAAUUUAUAAUCUGGCGCUUUCAGCGUCCGAGUUGUAAUCUCUAGAAGUGUUUUCCGCGUUGGACCGCACAUAAGUCUGUUGGAAUACAGCGGCACAGUGGUGAGACCCCCGUUCACGGUGCGGAUGCCCAAUGCUUUGUGAUACACUUUCGAAGAGUCGAGUUGUUUGGGAAUGCAGCUCAAAUUGGGUGGUAAAUUCCAUCUAAAGCUAAAUAUUGGCGAGAGACCGAUAGCGAACAAGUACCGUGAGGGAAAGAUGAAAAGCACUUUGGAAAGAGAGUUAACAGUACGUGAAAUUGUUGGAAGGGAAACGCUUGAAGUCAGACUUGCUAUUCGGGGCUUGCUCCGAGUUGCAGGCCAGCAUCAGUUUUUCGGGGCGGAAAAUCACGGAUUGAAGGUAGCAGUUUCGGCUGUGUUAUAGCUUUCCGUUGGAUACGUCCUGGGGGACUGAGGAACGCAGUGUGCUUUUAGC
rnacentral:rRNA from 1 species